rnacentral:rRNA from 1 species
UACGUAGGGGGCAAGCGUUGUUCGGAAUUACUGGGCGUAAAGGGCUCGUAGGCGGCCAACUAAGUCCGACGUGAAAUCCCCAGGCUUAACCUGGGAACUGCGUCGGAUACUGGAUGGCUUGAAUUCGGGAGAGGGAUGCAGAAUUCCAGGUGUAGCGGUGAAAUGCGUAGAUAUCUGGAGGAAUACCGGUGGCGAAGGCGGCAUCCUGGACCGACAUUGACGCUGAUGAGCGAAAGCUAGGGGAGCAAACGGG